rnacentral:rRNA from 1 species
UACGUAGGGUGCGAGCGUUUGUCCGGGAAUUACUGGGCGUAAAGAGCUCGUAGGUGGUUUGUCGCGUUGUUCGUGAAAACCGGGGGCUUAACCCUCGGCGUGCGGGCGAUACGGGCAGACUUGAGUACUGCAGGGGAGACUGGAAUUCCUGGUGUAGCGGUGGAAUGCGCAGAUAUCAGGAGGAACACCGGUGGCGAAGGCGGGUCUCUGGGCAAUAACUGACGCUGAGGAGCGAAAGCGUGGGGAGCGAACAGG